GGGCUACUAGCUCAAUGGCAGAGCGUUCGGCUCAUAACCGAUUGGUUCUAGGUUCGAGUCCUAGGUGGCCCACCA
rnacentral:tRNA from 1 species